rnacentral:rRNA from 1 species
GAUGAACGCUGGCGGCGUGCCUAAUACAUGCAAGUCGAGCGAACGGACGAGAAGCUUGCUUCUCUGAUGUUAGCGGCGGACGGGUGAGUAACACGUGGAUAACCUACCUAUAAGACUGGGAUAACUUCGGGAAACCGGAGCUAAUACCGGAUAAUAUUUUGAACCGCAUGGUUCAAAAGUGAAAGACGGUCUUGCUGUCACUUAUAGAUGGAUCCGCGCUGCAUUAGCUAGUUGGUAAGGUAACGGCUUACCAAGGCAACGAUGCAUAGCCGACCUGAGAGGGUGAUCGGCCACACUGGAACUGAGACACGGUCCAGACUCCUACGGGAGGCAGCAGUAGGGAAUCUUCCGCAAUGGGCGAAAGCCUGACGGAGCAACGCCGCGUGAGUGAUGAAGGUCUUCGGAUCGUAAAACUCUGUUAUUAGGGAAGAACAUAUGUGUAAGUAACUGUGCACAUCUUGACGGUACCUAAUCAGAAAGCCACGGCUAACUACGUGCCAGCAGCCGCGGUAAUACGUAGGCGGCAAGCGUUAUCCGGAAUUAUUGGGCGUAAAGCGCGCGUAGGCGGUUUUUUAAGUCUGAUGUGAAAGCCCACGGCUCAACCGUGGAGGGUCAUUGGAAACUGGAAAACUUGAGUGCAGAAGAGGAAAGUGGAAUUCCAUGUGUAGCGGUGAAAUGCGCAGAGAUAUGGAGGAGCACCAGUGGCGAAGGCGACUUUCUGGUCUGUAACUGACGCUGAUGUGCGAAAGCGUGGGGAUCAAACAGGAUUAGAUACCCUGGUAGUCCACGCCGUAAACGAUGAGUGCUAAGUGUUAGGGGGUUUCCGCCCCUUAGUGCUGCAGCUAACGCAUUAAGCACUCCGCCUGGGGAGUACGACCGCAAGGUUGAAACUCAAAGGAAUUGACGGGGACCCGCACAAGCGGUGGAGCAUGUGGUUUAAUUCGAAGCAACGCGAAGAACCUUACCAAAUCUUGACAUCCUUUGACAACUCUAGAGAUAGAGCCUUCCCCUUCGGGGGACAAAGUGACAGGUGGUGCAUGGUUGUCGUCAGCUCGUGUCGUGAGAUGUUGGGUUAAGUCCCGCAACGAGCGCAACCCUUAAGCUUAGUUGCCAUCAUUAAGUUGGGCACUCUAAGUUGACUGCCGGUGACAAACCGGAGGAAGGUGGGGAUGACGUCAAAUCAUCAUGCCCCUUAUGAUUUGGGCUACACACGUGCUACAAUGGACAAUACAAAGGGCAGCGAAACCGCGAGGUCAAGCAAAUCCCAUAAAGUUGUUCUCAGUUCGGAUUGUAGUCUGCAACUCGACUACAUGAAGCUGGAAUCGCUAGUAAUCGUAGAUCAGCAUGCUACGGUGAAUACGUUCCCGGGUCU